GGGGCUGUAGCUCAGUGGUAGAGCAUUUGCCUAGCACGUGUAAGGGACUGGGUUCAAUCCUCAGCAGCCCUG
rfam:Ictidomys tridecemlineatus contig104257, whole genome shotgun sequence.